rnacentral:lncRNA from 1 species
UAUGGUCCAAAAUCAACAAAUGACAACUUUUCCAGUAAAUUGCCAUCCGUCCAAUUUUGCAUUAGUGAUAAGCUAAUAACUUGAAACUAAAAUAAUAAUAAGUAAACAUAAAAUGCAUAUUUAAAUCCAAAAUAAUUCUUAACACAACAUAUGUUCCACCAACAUAAGAUUAAUUAAGUCACAUAAAGUCCCACCAACAUAAGAUUAAUUAAGUCACAUAAAGUCCCACCAACAUAAAAAUCCAAAAUAAAUCACAUAAAGUCUCACCAACAUAAAAUGCAUAUUUAGAUCCAAAAUAAUUCUUACAACAACAUAUGUUCCACCAACAUAAGAUUAAUUAAGCCACAUAAAGUCUCACUACAUAGUUAAAUAAGUCACAUAGUUAUAAGUUUUAAAUCCCAAAAGCAGCACAAAUAUAGAGCUUUAACAUCAUAACUAACAUUGGACUACACCUCACGACAAAGCAUUUGCAACACAUAUCAUUUCUUGAGGUGAUCGGGUAAGGUAAAGAACACACAGAGCAAAUCAUGUUUCGAGGCGAACAUACUAGUGGCGUCAUAUAUUUCCUCAUCAGCCAAGCCUUUAAUUUUGCUCAUUUCUCCAUAUAACAUACUUUGUAAAUCAGCUAUUUCCUAUCGCUAGAAAGUGUAGUAAUCAAACCAUCUAUCUUAAGGACCAUUGUUGCCACCGAGUCAGCCAUUGUCCCAAUCCUUGAGCACAUGUGAUCAAAUAAUUUAUCUUUAUUCUUCAUUUUCCUUCACCUAUUCCCUGAACUACUUGGAGCAUAAUCAACUUGUUGAUGAGAAGUAGCAUUUGGUUGAGGAGUGUAUGACAUAUCAUCAUUAAAAUCCUCCAUAAUCGGCUCAUUAUUUGAUUCACCUCCGAAAUAGACAUUAUUUGACUCAACUCCUAAAUUGACACUAACGUUGUCAUUUAAUCGAACUUCUUCCUCAUCAUCAUCUGCAUUCCCAGCAUUAGUCCCAGUUGCCCGAUCUCGGCCAUAAAUCUCACCAAAUACAUAAUAAUGUAGAAAUGAUUUAUUUAAUAAACCAGCUGCAUCUUUUCGUUUUUGUUAAAAAAAAAUGUAUAAGUAACAUAAAUUAAGAAGUAUAAAUUACACUAUAAAAUUUAAAACUUUACCUUAACAUACUCAUCAAAAACAUCCCUUUUACACAUUAUCAUCAUCUUGUCAUUAUCCCACCCAAAACCGCUAAGAGAUAACAUAUCACUCAUGACACAAUAUUUUUGCUUCAACCAUUUCACUCUAGAUUCAAUGUGAGGAGAAGCUUUCAAACCACAACCGGCAAUUUUGCUUCAAGCUUGUUUUCUAAUUGUUGUAAGUACCCAUUCUUAAAACCACAAUCCGACCUCCACAUAGGAUUUUGACUCAAUUCAAACUAGGGGUGGGUAUGAGUUGGUUUGAAUUGGGUUUUAAGUCAACCCAAACCAAAGCAUAAAAGUUUGGGUUCAACCCAAACCAACCCAUUUUGGUUUGAAUUU